GAUGAACGUUGGCGGCGUGCCUGAGAUAUGCAAGUCGAGCGACCCCGCCUCUGGCGGGGAGCGGCGAACGGCUGAGUAACACGUAGGAACCUGCCCCUAAGUCGAGGAUAGUCCGUCGAAAGGCGGAGUAAUACUCGAUGGUUCCCGCCUCUGGCGGGAUAAAGGAUCUAACCGUCCGCUUAGGGAGGGGCCUGCGGCCUAUCAGGUAGUUGGUAGGGUAACGGCCUACCAAGCCGAUGACGGGUAGCUGGCCUUAUGAGGGUGGUCAGCCAGAGGGGGACUGAGACACGGCCCCCACUCCUACGGGAGGCAGCAAUCAGGAAUCGUCGGCAAUGGGCGAAAGCCUGACCGCGCGACGCCGCGUGCGGGAAGAAGCUCUUCGGAGUGUAAACCGCUGUGGUAGGGGAGGAAGCCCCGCCUUUGGCGGGGUUGACAGUACCCUACUAGAAAGGGGCCGCUAACUGCGUGCCAGAAGCGUCGGUAAUACGUGGGCCCCAAACGUUAUCCGGUGUUAUUGGGCGUAAAGGGUCGUGUAGGCGUCCCGUCAAGUUUUACCUCAAAGACUAUGGCUCAACCAUAGGAAGGGGUAAAAAACUGACGGGAUAGAAUUCCCUCAAGGGGGACGGGAACUUGCGGAGGAGCAGUGAAAUGCGUUGAUACCGCAGGGAACACCAGUGGCGAAGGCGCGUCCCUUCGAGGGAAUUGACGCUGAGACACGAAAGCUAGGGGAGCGAAGCAGAUUAGAGACCUGCGUAGUCCUAGCCGUAAACGCAUGUCUGCUAGCUGUGCUUUUCCUCGCCUCAUCGGCGGGGUUAGGCAUGGCGAAGGUAACCCGUUAAGCAGACCGCCUGGGGACUACGGCCGCAAGGCUAAAACUCAAAGGAAUUGGCGGGGAGGCACACAACCAGUGGAACAUGUGGUUCAAUUCGAGACGAACCGAAGAACCUCACCAGGGCUUGACAUGCUACCGUUCACCCGAAAGGAAACUUUCGGGGAUCCGCAAGGAUGGUAGCACAGGUGCUGCAUGGCUGUCGUCAGCUCGUUCCGUGAGGAGUGCCCUUAAGUGGGACAACGAGCGCAACCCCCGUCCUGUGUUAGAAAUGUCACAGGAGACAGCCCCGCCUAUUGGCGGGGAGGAAGGAGGGGUAGACGUCAAGUCAGCAUGGCCCUUAUGCCCUGGGCUACACACAUGUUACAAUGGGAAGGACAGCGGGCUUUGCCACACCGUAAGGUGGAGCGAAUCCCUCAAACCUUCCCCAAGUUGGGAUUGAGGUCUGCAACUCGACCUCAUGAACGCGGAAUUGGUAGUAAUCGCGGAUCAGUCAUGCCGCGGUGAAUACGUUCUUGCCUCUUGCACACACCGCCCGUCAAGCCAACAAAGUCGGGGAU
rnacentral:rRNA from 1 species